rfam:Triticum aestivum genome assembly, contig: Triticum_aestivum_CS42_TGACv1_scaffold_129915_2BL
AACAUACUCCCUCCGUCCCAAAAUUCUUGUCUUAGAUUUGUCUAGAUACGGAUGUACCUAAUACUAAAACGUGACUUUAUACAUCCGUAUUUGUACAAAUCUAAGACAAGAAUUUUGGGACGGAGGGAGUAAAUC